CAGUAGCCGCGGGAAUACGUAGGGUGCGAGCGUUAAUCGGAAUUACUGGGCGUAAAGCGUGCGCAGGCGGUUUUGUAAGACAGAGGUGAAAUCCCCGGGCUCAACCUGGGAACUGCCUUUGUGACUGCAAGGCUAGAGUACGGCAGAGGGGGAUGGAAUUCCGCGUGUAGCAGUGAAAUGCGUAGAUAUGCGGAGGAACACCGAUGGCGAAGGCAAUCCCCUGGGCCUGUACUGACGCUCAUGCAAGAAAGCGUGGGGAGCAAACAGGAUUAGAUACCCCUGUAGUCCCUGUCUCUUAUAC
rnacentral:rRNA from 1 species